GGUAAACUACAUUACGGGUUACUCUAAAACUGCAUCGUUUUUAUUUUAAUCAUUCUAAUUUUUUUGUUAAUUUAGUCACUCUAAUUAAGAUAAUUGUUCGAAUUGAUCACUCCAUUAAAAGUUUUAUUAAUUCACUAACGAAUUGAUGACGUGGCACAUUUAACUCAUUAAGUGAUUGAUAAAUUUUUUUUUUAACUUUUGGCUAAAGCUAAAAUUUUUCUAUAAUUAGUUAAAAAUACUUUUUUUUUUAUUUGCAAUAUAAAAACCACCCAUCAUCACGAUGAUCGUCGUCCUUAAAGUAGAAGCUCUUGUUCCGGGGAGAAACCGUUUUCGCCAUCAGAAAGUGUGAACAUGCGUAGCAAACUGAGAGUCGGUCGAAUUUUAAACUAACUUCCGACUUCACAGAAAAAAAAGGGAUGAGUCAUUUUCUAGUGUUUUUUUCAAUAAUAAUAAAAAGGCUAAAACUUAUUAUUUUCAGCUACAAUUCCAUUGAAAUUCAACUAAUUAAACACCAAAUUACUCAAUUUAAAAAAAAAAAAAAAAGAGCUCUCCUAUAAGAAAAGAAAAACUACAGUGAAUGUUUAUCUCAUCACUAAACAAAAAUGUGCAAAAAAACAAAGCAACUAAAUUGCAAUAAAUUUGGGUCAGUUUCAACGUUCAUCAAUGUCAUCCAAAACAAAUAAUUGAACCCAAAAAAAAAAAAAAAGUAAGAAAGGACUCAACAAGCAAAAAUUAAACAAAAGGAUCUUAAAUUGGGUAAAUGAAAAUUACCAAAAUAGAAGAACCCAGAAACAGUUGUCAAAGAAAUAAUCUGGAUCGAAGGAGAAACGAGUUCCCAAUUGGCCAAAAAAUGGACUUAGGAACAUCGUCGUCGUUGACGGACGAAGAUGGGGAGAUGAGCUGAAUCGUUGAACAAGGAUUGAAGGUAGCCAGACGGGGGCAGCAACCAGUUCCGGCAACGGUUUCUCCCCGAAGCAAGAGCUGCUGCUUUCGAGGACCGAAACCAGACUGGAUAUCCAGAAUUGAUGAUUAUCAUGAGGAUUGGU
rnacentral:lncRNA from 1 species